AUGGAAGAAGUGCAAGAUAUUGUGAUUGUGGGAGCUGGAAUUGCUGGUCUUACAGCAUCCUUAGGACUUCAUAAGUACCCUUCCUCUCUCUAUUUUUAUAUCCAUGUACAUGUUUGUACAUUUUGGUUUAGUCUUUUUUUUUUUUUUUAAAGUUUAUUUAACUUAUUUAUUUAUAGUUUCAUGUUUGUUAGAACUUCACUUUCUCAAAUAGGAGAGAUCCUCAUGCUUUAAGUGAAUAAAACCCAAACCUUGACAUAUCUUAAUACUUCAAGUAAAUAAGCAAAUCCAAACCAACGCUAACAACGAAAAUAUUGUGUAGGUUGGGUAUUCGAAGCUUAGUAUUGGAAUCCUCAGGUAGUUUGAGGAUCACAGGAUUUGCCAUUGGAACAUGGACAAAUGCUUGGAAGGCCUUAGAUGCUGUUGGCAUUGGUGACUCCCUUCGACAACAACGUAAACAGAUUUAUUGGUAAGUACCAUUUAGUUGACUUCUCCUUUCUUGAUGAGUGUCACUUUGUUUUGCUAACUUAGCAAUUCAUUAAGAAGAAGCAAAGACGGUCUAGGUGCAAAUACUAUAUAAAAAAGAAGAAGGUAAUAUUGUAAUAAUACAAUCGGGGGACUAUUUAAAACUAGAAACUGUUGGUUGCUUUCCAAUUUUGUUAGAGCUUUAGCAUAUGUGUUAGCUUAAUGAUCAGUCUAUGACAAUAGCUAACCACCUACACUUACUCACUCUAGUUGAGUGAUACCUAUGUCUAAUAUCAUUUCAAGGCUACUCAGAGCGAAAAAAAAAGGUCGUUUGAAGGCAAAACUUUUUGCGAAGACUACAUAACUCAGAACAAAUGAAUUAAAAUUAAUUUCCCAUAGUAAUUGCAAAACUUGGAAAAUACAUAAACUUCUACGUGUAUUUGGUUAAUUUCAACUAGCCAGCUCCCAUCACUAAUACAAGAACAUGCAUACCAUACCAUGUAUACUGACCAGCUGCUAAUUGUAUGCAGGAAUUUGAGUACCUCUACAAUUUCAGGAGUUCAAAUAGCAGCGAUGUCAUUUGUUGCCAAAGGAAAAUAGUAAGUUAAAGUAUUUGCAGAUAGCAAUGAUUGUAGUGCCCCUAUAUCAUACAAGUUAUAAUCCUCUCUCUCUCUCUCUCUCUCAUAUCUUGUACAUGAUUUAUUUGCAUCUUCAUUCCUCGCUCUAAAAAUACAUGGAUCUCAUAGGACCCACAUGUUGGAAGUAUAGUUUGAAAAAUUGUCCAAAUUGAUUGAAAAAGUUACAAAGCAAUAUCAAUAAUAUAUCAGUAAAACAAGAUAUGCUCAAAUUAACUUAUAAGCAAAAUAGACAAGUGCAAAAGCGUAUAAAAUUAAGGAUUAAGUAAAACUUAUCGCCGAGGCACAAAAAUAAAUCCGCUGUCCUUAAGAAGUGAUUUAACUCCCACUGGAAUGAAUCCGUCGGUGCAAAUGGCUCAAGCGGUUCCUCUCUAAGAUACAAUGGCAACUCUGUUAAUAUGCACUUACAAACAGAGUUUCAAACUCGUCACAAAUACCCAAGAGAAAAUUUUCAGCAAAAACAAAGGAGCAAAAGUAUCAAAGUAAUAUAUGUUUUUAUUGUUUUCAACUAAUCUCAUAUACGCAGAAUUUGAUAGUCUUAAAGCUCUUAAAAAGGAAGUAGCUAAAGAUGAUUAGAGUGAAAAGAGGAAGGCAAAAACAAAGGAAUUUUUCUUUCCCAUUGAUGCCGCAAGCUGCUUUGUAUUUUCUGCAAACCAGGCAAAGGUGUUGCUGACUAGUUUUCUAAGGAAAUAUGAGAUUAUUGAGGGUUUUGUUUGUAGCAAAAAAUUCCCACACCAGCUAAGGAAAAUUCUAAGGCAUGGGCUUGGGCUUUACAACAAAACAUUAUGGGCUUAAGCUUGAACAUACCCAAUUAAUUUUAAAACAUACCCAAAACCACAUAGUGUGAGAAAUAUGAUAUAUAUGAAAUGUAUUACAGUAUGAGAUUGAGAUACUUAUUGCAUUGACAAAGAUAGCUAAAUUUCCUCUCCCAAACCCCAGCCCAACCAGUCUCAUCCUAUUUACACACAUCUUAUUACUAAACUCCAAAACAUUCUCUCUUAAUACUCUUACUGCCAAGAUUCUUGUCUCUCACCAGUGUCAAUUACUUAAUUAGGGAUAGCAAAACAGAAUGCCUUCAUCUUGUCUCACCUUAACUUGCCCCACUUUUGUCCCAAACAAGAGACAAAGGUGGGAAUGGAGCAUUCAUGACUUUGACACGUUCUCACCCUGUUUGCUAUCCCUAUUCACUAUCUGGUGCAGUGGUAAAAGUUCUUGGGCUGUCAAGUGCAAUCCUUCCCAGAACCUCACUUAAGUGGGAUUAACAUUGGGUAAUAGCCCCUGCAACCCACUAAAUUCUGCCAGCCAAGAUAUCCUUAUUUGGGCUUUCUCAAAAGAUGGUAAUUUCUCCUUAAAUUCAGCUUAUUUACUUGCUAAAGAUUUAAACCCCCUGAACCUCUAUUCUCCUAACUUGUGGGUUUGGAAGUCAAAAACCACGCCCCGCAUAAAAUUUUUUCUGUGGCUGUGCUACCACGGUAGCAUUCCGUGUAAGGAUGUCUUAGGUUCACGGGGUUUUAAUCUUGCUGCUGGUUGUGAUCUUUGUGGUGGUGAUUCUGAAUCUAUCAUCCAUCUUUUACGUGAUUGUGGAGUUGCAAGGGCUGUUUGGAGGAAAUUGGGUGUAAAUGAUGCUAACCAGGAUUUUUAUAAUUCCCCGCUGGCUGUGUGGUUGAGAUAUAACUGUGAAUUAUCUGUUCCGCUUGCUCAAACUGGGAUUCCUUGGAGUUUCAUCUUUCCACAAGCUGUCUGGCUUAUAUGGCUGCACCGGAAUAAUUAUGUUUUCAGGAACAGAAGAAUUGAUACAUCUCUUCACUUGCAAUGUAUUAAGAAAGGUACUGAGUUUUAUGCUAUUGUUCCAAACUUUUCAAACAAGUCUCCUCGAACCCAGAUUCAAGUCAAAUGGUUGAAGCCUAAUCCUGGUUGGGUGAAACUAAAUUCUGAUGGGGCAGUUGGUGGUGCAUUCGGCAAGGCUGGUGGGGGUGGAGUGAUAAGGUGCAGUAGAGGGAAUUGGAUUGCUGGUUUUACUAGGAAACUUGGUGAGAUAUCCAGCACUAAGGCAGAACUCUGGGCGCUGAAGGAUGGACUUUUACUAGCAAAACAACUUAACCUCCAACAUAUAAACAUUGAACUGGAUGCUGAAUAUAUUGUUCAUUUACUUUCUGACCCAAACUCUAUUAAUCUGAUGCUUGAACCUCUCCUAAAUGAUUGCAGGACCCUGAUCAACUCGUUGCCUAACUGCACGUUGACCCACAUAUUCCGGGAAGCUAACAAAUGUGCAGAUAUUUUGGCUAAAAUGGGAGCAAAUUUAGAUUCGGGUUUCCACAUUUUGUAUGAACCACCGCUUGUGGUGGAAAAUGCGCUAGCUUUUGACAAAGCUGAGCUUUUUUGUAAUAGACUGGUUAUUUAAUUUUAUGUCAGUUCCGCUGUUUACCAAAAAAAAAAAUGUUGCUCCCAUUAUUUUUUUAUAGAUCCACUACUAGUACCUUUAGAUCCAUUCUACUUCUUUGUGUUCUUCUACUAUUUUCCCAUCUUGGGGAAUAAGAAAUCCCUUUACCAAAUUCCCCUCCCCCUAAGAAAAAGAGCCAAAAUAACAUGGAAAAAGUAGAAGACAUUGUGAUUGUGGGAGUUGGAAUUGCUGGCCUUACAACUUCCUUAGGACUUCAAAAGUACUCUUCCUCUCUUUCUUAUAUAUAUAUAUAUAUAUAUGCAUGUACUACAUUUUUUUUAAUCUUUGGUUUGAUUUAUAAAAAUUGUUAUUCAGCUUAUGUACAGUUUUUAAGUCCUUUUUUUCCCUAAGCAACACAUUACAGGGAUUAAAAUUAUUGUAUCCUAACAAUGCAAAUAUUUUGAAGGUUGGGUAUUCGAAGCUUGGUAUUGGAAUCCUCACAUAGUCUAAGGAUCACUGGAUUUGCCUUUAUAGCAUGGACAAAUGCUUGGAGGGCAUUAGAUGCUGUUGGCCUUGGUGACUCCCUCCGACAACAACAUAAACAGUUCUAUUCGUAAGUACACUUCUUUCCUCGUUAGUGCCUUUUUUUUUUUGUGGUAAUAUUAAUAUAUAAGUGAAGAAUUCAUUGAGAAGUAGCAAAAACAGGCUGAGUUCAAAUAUUGUGAAAUUUUUUUACUAUAAAAGUGCAAUAAUACAAUCAUAUGGACUAUCAAAAAGACAAAAACCAGAAACUGUUGGGUGCUUUCCAAUUUUGUUAGAGCUUUAGCAUAUGAGUUAGUUUAAUGAUCAAUCUAAGACACUAGCCACCAACACUUAUUCACAUACUCAUGGGUCCAUAUAUCAUGACGACUAGGGCUGUCUAUGGGUCGGGUGGGUCGGGUUUGUGCCCAACCCUCAACCGACCUGCCGGAGAUCGGGUAGGGAGGUGUUGGACCCGCAACAGACCCGUAUUAGGGUCGGGUUUUAUGGGUCGGUUUCCCGUUGAGUGAGUGGCUUUUUUGGGUGAGGCCGAAACCCGCUGGAGAGGAUGAAAAAAGUAGAAAAUCGGCGAGAUCUCUCCCGAUCCAUCCAAAUUUGAUGUUUUUUUCCCCUAAAUCGUGCAAAGAAUCACCGGUUCUGGUGUUUUAGUCGCCAAAAUCUGCCAAAUCGUGUUGGAAAACUCGCCGGAAAGCUUGAAAUCGCAGCUCGUCAUUCUCUCUUUGGGCGGGUCGGGUUGAAUGGGUUUUUAAGGAAUGGAACCGAAACUGAAGUUGUUGGAUCGGGUUGUAGCAGGUCAGGUACGGGCGGGUUAGGCAGGUGAGAUGGACAACCCUAAUGACGACUCCAUAAGAUACCACGAAUAAAAAAAAUUCAUGAUUUAUUUUAUAUUUUACCAAUUACAACUUUUCAAACAUUACUAUUAUUAUUAUUAUUAUCAAGUAACCAAAGUUUUAAAUUGAAAAAAAAAUUAAACUUUAUGUUACAAUUGUAGGGAAUUAACCCAAAAUUCCCAAACCUGUGAGAAUCGAAAUAGAGAAAACAAAUGCCAAAGAAAAAUAAUUAUACACACAAGACAGUAUUUAUGUGGUUAGGCAAUUUGCCUACGUUCAUGGAGUUGCAGAGAUUUCACUAUUAUCAGGGAAAAAUACAAAGUGCAACAGUACAAUUUUUCUCACUCUUAAAAAGAGAACAACAAACCUUAAAAUCUCCGCUUUAUGGACUAAGCCUCAGAAAAUCUUCCAUUAAAAACCACGCAACAUUAUUUUGGGUCGGGUUAUCAUUCGGAUCAAACACAACUAGACUUUACAAAACCCAACAAAUCUCCCACUUGGAGACUAGUUCAAUCACCAAUAUCAACCGCAAUCCUCCAAAAAACAAUCCCUCAUCCCUGCAACUCAUCCUUCUAUCCUCAAGCUAAAAGACCAACUGAAGCUACACAUAGCUUCAAUUUCUCAAUAUUGACACCCUUAGUCAACAUGUCUACUGGGUUCUUAAAUCCACAAAUCUUCUUAAGUAAUACCAACUUAUCUUCAACAAGGUAACAAAUAAAGUGGUAUUUUGUUUGUAUAUGCUUCGACUUUGAAUGAAAAACCGAAUUUUUGGCUAAAAAAAUUGCACUCUAACUGUCACUGUGCAGAAUGCCCAUCUCCUGCUUCUUACCCAAUUCAUCUAAGAAGCCAUGUAGUCAAAUCAUCUCAUUUCCAGCUUCAGUUGCUGCAACAUACUCAGCUUCUGUAGUAGACAAAGUAACAAUCUUUUGUAGAUUUGAGGCCCAUGAUAUAGCUGUACCACCCAAAGUAAAUACAAACUCAGUAGUACUUUUUCUACUAUCAAUAUCACCAGCAAAAUCAGCAUCUACAUAACCCUGCAGUUUCAAACUUGCACUUGUGAAGCAAAGACAUGUAUCUAAUGAACCCUUCAGAUAUCUCAGAAUCCACUUGACUGCCUCCCAAUGUUGCUUUCCUGGCCUACUCAUGAAUUUGCUCACAAUUCCCACUGCAUGUGCAAUGUCUAGUCUUGUACACACCAUAGUAUACAUCAAAUUGCCAAUAGUUGAGGCAUAGGGCACCUUGCUCAUAUGGUCCCUUUCUUUUUCUGUCUUCAGUGAUUGUUCUUUACUUAAUUUGAAAUGGCUACCCAAGGGUGUGCUCACUAGUUUAGCUUCAUUUAUGUUGAACCUGCUGAGAACUUUCUUCACAUACUUUGACUAUGAAAGCUUCAAUGUAUCAUUAGCCUUAUCUCUAAGGAUUCUCAUACCAAGGAUUUGCUUUGCAGCUCCUAAAUCCUUCAUUGCAAACUGCUUUGACAAUUACUUUUUUAGAUUAUUAAUCUCCUCAAUGCUAGACCCUGCAGAGCAUAUCAUCCACAUACAACAGUAAAAUAAUAUAAGAAUUGUCAAAGAACUUAACAUAGCAACAGUGAUCAGCUUCAUAUCUCUUGAACCUAAUUUUGUGAAAAAAAUUGUCAAAUUUCUUGUACCACUAUCUUGGAGCUUGUUUUAGGCCAUACAAGCUCUUUCUCAGUUUGCAGACUAGAUUCUCUUGUCCCUGAACAAUGAACCCUUCUGGCUGAAUCAUGUAAAUGUCUUCCUCCAAGUCACCAUGAAGGAAUGCCGUCUUCACAUCUAACUGCUUAAGAUGUAAAUUUUCUGUAGCCACCAUUCCCAGUACUAGUUUGAUUGUUGACAUCUUCACAACUAGAGAAAAUAUUUCUGAGUAGUCAAUGCCUUUCUUCUGUUGGAACCCUUUGACAACUAAUCUGGCCUUGUAACGCUUGUUGCCAUCAUGCUCAUUCUUUAUUUUGUAUACCUAUUUGUUGUGCAAAGCCUUCUUUCCUACUAGCAAUUCAAUCAAUUCCCAUGUCUAAUUCCCUAACAAGGAAUCCAUCUCAUUCUUCAUGGCUAACUCCCACUUGCUUGAAUUUUCAUCCUGCAAGGCUUUUUCAUAACACUCUGGCUCACCACCAUUAGUAAACAGGAGAUAAUUUAGAGUGGGUGAAUAACGCUAUGGAGGUCUAAUGGUCCUGGAAGAUCUACGGACUUCAGCCCUUUUCUGGAUAGUACUUUCAGUCAAUUCAUCUAAGUUAACAAACUUGGAUUUCUUUUGAUCUAUCUCUGUAACAUCUGACACUAUAGUUGACCUGUCCUUGUACAUAACCUAUUCAUUAAAUAUCACAUUUCUACUUCUGAUGAUUUUCCUGUUUUGUUCAUCCUAAAACCUAUAGCCAAAUUUUUCAUCACCAUAGCCAAUGAAAAAAAAUAUUUUAGACUUUGCAUCAAGUUUACUACGAGCAUCAGAAUCAAUAUGAAUAUAAGAAACACAACAAAAAAACUUUUAAAUAUGAAAAUUUUACCUCUUUACCGCUCCAAACCUCCUUAGAAAGUUUGAACUCUAUAGGAACUGAUGGUCCUGGGUUUAUCAGGUAAGCUGUAGUGCUAACAGCAUCAGCUCAGAAAGUUUUUGGUAGUCCAACAUGCAACCUCAUACUCCUAGCACGCUCAUUGAGAGUUCUGUUCAUGUGCUCACCUACACCAUUCUGCUGUGAUGUCCCAGGAAUGGUCUUCUCUAUCCUAAUUCCUUGUGCAACACAAUACUCACUGAACCCUUCAUCUAUGUACUCUUUUCCAUUAUCUGACCUCAAACAUUUUACUUUCAAACCUGUUUCUGUCUCAAUCCCGGCCUUCCACUUUUUAAAAGUUUCAAAUACAUCAGAUUAAUUUUUCAAAAAAUAAACUCAUACCUUUUUGCUUGAGUCAUCAAUGAAAGUGAUGUAGUAUCUUGAACCUCUAAGGGAUGCAACCAGAGAAGGCCCCCAUAAAUCAGCGUGUACUAACUCCAAUUUUUCAGCCUUUGGUGUUCUGCUCACCUUUUUCUGCUUUCCUAAGAUGCAGCUUUCACACAUGUCAAAGUCAAUGGACUUCAAUUCUGGUAGUUUUCCUCUUAACAGCAGCAUCUUCAUCCUUUUCUCACUCAUGUGACCAAGUUUGCAGUGCUAUAGGCUUGUAUUAGUACUUACUUUAGCAACUGCAAUUGUGUCUUUUGGACUUGAGUUCAUAUAUAGAAUACUAGUCUUCUUUCCAUGAGCCAAUACUAUAGCUUCCUUUGUAACCUUCCAAGUACCACCAACAAAUAGUAUUGCAUGCCCUUCAUCAUCAAGUUGUCCAACAGAAAUCAGAUUCCUUCUCAAGUCAGGAAUAUGUCAAACAUUCUCCAGUAACCAAAUAGACUCAUUGGGCAAUAAUAUACAGACGUCUCCCAUACCCACUACAUCCAAGGUUGUAUCAUCAGCCAAAUACACCUUAUCAAAAUCACCUGUAGCAUAGUUUUGUAUGAUUUCUCGAUGUAGAGUGGUAUGAAACGAAACUCCUGAGUCCAAAACCAAUUAUCAAGUGGACUGUUUACUGCAAGAAGUAAUGCAUUCUAUACCUCUUCUGUUGCAACAUUAGCAGAAUCAUCUUUAUUCUUCUUCUUAGGGCUUUUGCAUUGCCUCCUAAAGUGACCCGUUUUUCCACAGUUCCAGCAUUGUAGUUGUUGGCCUGAUCUAGAUUUACUUCUUUUCUGAUUAGAAUUUCUGGAUUUUGAUUUGCCCCAAUUUGAAUUUCUAUCAUUACCUCUGCCUUUUGUCUCAAGGUUUAGGACAUAACUAGAUCCUGAGAUUUCACCUGCAUCUUUUUUGCGAAUUUCCUCAGUCAAAAUUAAAUUUCGUAUGUCAUUGUACUUCACCUUUUCCUUUCCUGUAGAAUUGCUUACUAUCAUCCUCACUACCUCCCAACUAUUUGACAAAGAAGCUAAAACAAUCAAUGCACAGAUCUCAUCAUCAAAAUUAGUUUCUACAGACGACAAUUGAUUUGUGAUAGUGUUAAAUUCGUUCAGAUGUUGUGCUACUGAUGCAUUCUCUGCCAUCUUCAAAUUGAACAGUUUCUUCAUCAGAUGCACCUUGUUGUUUGCUGACGGCUUUUCAUACAUAUCAGACAAAGGUUUCAUCAGAUCUGUUGUGGUCUUCUCUUUUACAACAUUGUAUACAACAGAUCUAAACAGAGUUAACCUGAUGAUUCCCAGUACUUGUCUGUCAAGAAUAGCCCAUUCCUCAUCCUUCAUAGUUGCAGGUUUUUCCCUUAGAAGUGGCAGAUGUAACUUCUUCCCAUAAAGAUAAUCCUCGAUUUGCAUCCUCCAAAAUCCAAAGUCUGUGCCAUCAAAAUUUUCUAUUCUAGACGACUUUCUUGCUUCCUCUACUAUUACUCCCACUCAAAUCUAACCCUAGGCUUUGAUACCAGUUGUAGGGAAUUAAUUCGAAAUUUCGAAACCUGUGAGAAAUGAAAUAGAGAAAACACACACAAAAGAAAAAUAAUCACACGCACAAGACAGUAUUUACGUGAUUCAACAAUUUGCCUAUGUCCAUGGAGUUGUAAGGAUUUCACUAUUAUCAAGAAAAAAUUACAAAGUGCGGCAAUACAGUUUUUUUCACUCUAAAAAACGACAAUAAUAAACCUUAAUCACCAAAACAACAUUUUUCUACAUCCUGCGCACAUGAUUCACAAUGUGCUACGGCUUGGGCCUGUCGGCCCAAGUCUCCGCUCCAUGGACUAAAUCUCAGAAAAUUUCCUAUUAAAAACUACGCAACAUUAUUUCAGAUUGGAUCAUCAUCUGGAUCAAACACAACUAGGCCCCACAAAGCUCAACAACAAUUGGUAGAAUAUAAAAGUGAAACACUAUGAAUGAGAUGGAAAAAGAUUUAUAUUCAAAUACGACUUCACCCACUUCUUGUAGUUGAGUGACUGAUUAAUAAUUACAUAUUUCCAUCCCCAUUUGAGGGCUAUGCAACAGGAGGGAAAAACAUUUGAAGGCAAAACCUUUUCUGCAGGCAAGAUAACCUAGAAAAAUUGACAUUAAUUUCCGAUAUAAAUUGCAAAGUUUGGAAAAUAUAUAAACUCUUAACUUGCGGAAUUGGUUUUACGUACCAUUGUUUCAUUGACAAUACAAUGAUUAGUUGUUGGUCCAAUGAUUAAUUGCUGGUUCAUAUUACAAAUUAGCUAUGAGAAGUUCUAGUAUUAAUCACUGAAGGACGUUGUCUCAUUUUUUAUAUUAGAAAAUGGAACUGACCUCCCAGCACAGCACAAAUACAAGAAAACACACACCAUGUAACUGACCAGCAGAUGAUUGUAUGCAGGAAUGUGGCCACCUCUACAAUUACAGGACAUCAAACCACAGCCAUGCCAUUUAAAGCGAAAGGAAAACUGUAAGUCAAAGCUCUACUUAUGGUUAUAGUGCCCAUAUAUUAUGCAGGUUAUAACCUGUUCUGUCUCUCUCUCUCUCUCUCUCAUUGAUAAGGAUGGCAACAUUUCCCUACCCAACCUAACUCGGGGUUUUCCCUACCCAUCCUAAAUGUGUGUAUAUAUAAAUUUAAAUUAUUUAUACAAAUUUUUUUAUUGAUAAUAUAUAAUUACAAAUUUUCGAAAUAAUCAUCUCUUUUAUUAAUUUCACCACCACCCCUCUCUUCUCUUUCAUCUCACUUUCCCACAUUGCACUAGCUUCCUCCGCCUAAAAGAGGAGACGGAGAUAGGGCACUCAUGAUACUAUCUCAUCUUGUCCCAUUGCCAUCCCUACCCAUUGUAAAGUAUAAUGAUAAAGGUCUUUUUGGUUGUCAAGUGCAAUCGCUCUCAGAACACCACCUAAGCAGUAUUAAAAUUGAGUAAUGACCCUUAUGACGUACCCUGCUUAAACUCCAGCUGGUUAUAAUGACAAUGUUUUUCCGUUAUUUUUUCAUGUAUAUGCCCAAAAGUUUGAUCACUGGUGGCUUGGGUGACCAAAAUUUAUAUACGAUACUGGUUAUUUUCUUUUGAUAUUUUAAUUCAUAAUUGAGACGUUUUAUAAGCAAGCUCGAAUAAUUAUUGUAUGAUGUGCAGUGGAGACCAUGAAGUUCGUUGUGUGAAUAGAAAGUUGUUGGUGGAAGCCCUUGCAAAUGAGCUCCCAAGUGGCACCAUUAGGUUCUCUUCCAAGGUAGUUUCUAUAGAGGAAUCAGGCUUCUAUAAGCUUGUGCAUCUUGCUGAUGGAACUAUUAUCAAGACUAAGGUAAAAUCACCUGAAGUAUUAUCAUUAACUAUUUUAUUAUUAUUCUACUGGGACCAUAAUUUGGUGCAAUAAAUUAAUAAAGAAUACUGAAAGUUGAUGGAUUCAUAAGAGUACGAUCAUUGGCUCGUGCAUCAGGUUUAUCCAAAUGCAAUUUAGAUAAUACUGUAGCAAAAAAAAGCACUAAAAACAAACCUCCAAAGUCCAAAGCAUUAUGUAUCACUGUAGAAAACUUUACAUGUUGCUACUAUAUUCUCUAAAAUAUAAAGGAUACUGUAGCUCACAUGCAUUUCUUUUUAAACAUUUUCUAUAUUUGAUUUUGUCAAUAUCCUCUGGUCUCUAGCGCAGGUAAGCUUUCCCUUUCUCAUCUCUUCUCUCUAAAACUAUAUAUAGAUUAUCUUAUUAUGUGGUGUAAAAUAAAGAAUGUGAGGUAGGAUGUGUUAGUGGUAAAGUGAAAUAAAUAAAUUGAGUUUUUUUAAAUGAUGCGUAUUUUUUUAUAUAAGCCAACGGGAAUGCCAUAAGACCCUGUCUAAAUUACCUAAUCUUACAAUCCAUUUAAAUAGCACUGGUGCUGAUAAAGUGACCAGUGACCCAUAUUUUAUAUUUGAAUUUUUGUCUUGUAGGUAUAAGCCAAGAGAGCAAUCUGCUUUUUUCAUACUUUGAACCCUGUUGGAGUAUCUGUAGCCAAAUAGGUAGACCUAGGGAAGCCAUUACUGUGAAACCCCAAAUAGAUUUAAAGUCACAAUUGUUGAAUGGAUCAUUCAUCUGCUAACUUAGUCCAAAACAUGUUUUUCAUAACUCAUUACGGGGGUGAGUUAAGUCCAUGGAAUACCCGGAUGUUAGACUUUUGGUUUAGGCAUGAUGUAAGGUCUUAGAUUCAAUUUAUUAGUACAUAUUAAUGAUAAAUCUGUGUGUGUGUGUGUGUGUGUGUGUGUGUGUGUGUGGUUGUGGGGGAGGGGGGGCAGUUGUAGUGAAACUUUCAUGGGCAAGUAGAUGAAUAAUUUGGCCAAAAGCUGCUGGGGUACUAAUUUCUUAUAAUAAUAAUAAUAAUAAGGUGGCAAGUUGUAAUUACAUCAACAUCAUUUUCAUAUUGACAUACCAUCAAUAAUAUUUUAAUUAUACACUAAUCACAACAUGUUACACUAACAGUUGUAAAAUAUUAUUUGUUUUAUUAAUAUCCUAAAUAACAAAACAAGAUAGUAUUAGGCUUUUUUAUAAAUCUAUAUAUAAAAAUGUUUUCACAAGGUAUCCCCAUUAACCUAGAAAAUUGUACUCAAACUUCAAAAGGUGAUCAGGUAAUAAUGAACACUUAUUAUAAUUUACACUUACUUUUACUCCUUUGCGAUUGUCUAAGCACAUUGGAAAGAACAAAGUUUGGUUUCAAACAUGUUUAGAGUUAUAUUUUCCAACUCAUUAUGUGACGUUUUAUAAGACUAUUCAUGUGUAUUAUUCAAACAAAUCACAUACCUCAUUAAAAAAUAGAUAAAUGGUCUUUUUAAUUACCACAUAAUAGGUUUGUGCAAAAUAACUUCAAACAUGUUUGGAGUCAAACUUUCUUCGAUAGGAAAAUAUUAUGUUCUAUACUUUUUUUCUCUAAACAAGAUGAUAUUUAAAAAGCUUAAAUGUGUUUGUUGUUUUUGAUUGAAAGGCAUUGAUUGGAUGUGAUGGAGUGAACUCAGUGGUGGCAAAGUGGUUGGGUUUCAAGGCACCAGCUUUCACAGGGAGAGCUGCUAUCAGGGGCUGGAUAAAUUUCAAGUCCAAUCAUGGGUUUGAGCCUAAGAUCUCGCAAUUCAUGGGGUUAGGCUUCCGAUCUGGUUUUCUUCCUAAUGAUGAUACUGGGGUUUAUUGGUUUCUCACAUCCCACGAAGGUGAGCCCCAAUUCCAUGUUUGUUUGAUUGCACUUUACUAAACUAUAUAUUGAGUUUGUGGGUUCUAGUUAGUUCAACUGGUAAAGUGUCUAAUGGUUGAAUGAGAGAUUUGGGAUUCAAUCUCCGUCUACACCAAAAAUUGAUUAGUGUCUUAGUUUGAUGAUAAAGAGCAUCAUCAGGAGUGGGCACCAUAGGUUAAAACUCUUUAAUAUAUAUAUAUAUAUAUUGGGUAAAUUGCAAAUUACACCUCUAAAGUUUGUGAGUGUUUAAAUUUUACACUGUGAAGUUUUAGAAUUUGGAUUUUACCUCCUGAAGUUUAGGGGUGUUUAGAUUUUGCACCAUAAAAUUUCAUAGUUUGGAUUUUACUCCCUAAAAUUUUAGGGGUGUUUGGAUUUUACUCCCUAAAAUUUGGGGGUUUUUGAAAUUUAUACCCUAAAAUUUUAGAAUUUGGAGAUGUAAAAUUCAAACACUCCUAAACUUUAGGAGGGUAAAAUCCAAAUUUUGAAAUGUUAGAGUAAAAAAUCUAAAUACUCCAAACUUCAAAAGAUAAAAUCCAAAUUAUAUAUAGGAAAAGAUAGAGUCAAAUUUUUUGUUUUCUAUUUUUUACUACCGUUGAGGUAACGGGUUGUAAAUAGUUAAAAAUAAAUUGAUGUUAGUGUUGGACCUAAAUGAGAGUUAAUAAAAAUUUGACAACUCAAUAAUUGUUGAAUAUUUUGUGAAAAAUAUUGUUCAUAUAACAUGACUCUUAAAAUUUGGUGCAUGUUUAUUGGAAAACGUUUUCUUGUAAUUUGAGCAAACAUCCAGGUUUUGUAUUUUGUCAUGUGUAAUGUAUGUUUUUGCGCACAGAGGAUGGAGCUAUGCAUCCUUAGUGUAGGACCGGUUUGAGAUCAAGUGUCAUAAGGAUUAUUGCAUCAUGCAACUGUAUUUUAAGGGCUGAGGUUGAAAGUUUAAAAAUUAACUUUAAUCUCAAUCCUUGGUUCUCAAUUUUUAUUUUUUAAAAUUUUUAAACUUUUUUUUUAAUGUGUUUUACUUUUCUCUCUCACAUGUCAAAGGCAAUUGCACAGUGGAUCUCAAUCCGUAUUGGAUCCAUUUCAAGACGAUUGGAUCCAUGGGUACCAUUUCCCAUGUAAUUUUUUUUUGGCUAAAACAGUUUCCCAUAUUACAAUUUUUCCACUAUGAUCAUAGUCCAUUGUUACGUUGUAGCAUGAUCUCAAUUUUUGUUCUUAUUAUAUCUUGCAGAGAAAGAAAUAGAAGAUGACCUAGCUAAAAUGAAGCAAUUUGUGUUAAGCAAGUUAGCAAAUGCACCUGAUGAAAUAAAGACCAUUGUUGAAAACACUGAAUUGGAUUAUAUUAUGUUGUCCCCAUUAAGGUAUAGGCAUCCUUGGGACCUUAUUUGGGGAAAUAUCAGCAAAGGCAAUGUUUGUGUGCUUGGUGAUGCAUUCCACCCCAUGACUCCAGACAUUGCCCAAGGUGCUUGUUCUGCCUUAGAAGAUGGAAUUGUUUUGGCAAGGUGCCUUGCUAGAGCUUUACUCACGAAAGAACAAAGUGGGGAAUCAAAAGAGAAAGUUGAUAGCGAAAGCGAGCAAUAUAUGAAAAUUGAGAUGGGGUUGAAGAACUAUGCCAAAGAGAGGAGAUGGAGAAGCAUUGUGCUCAUAACUACAGCUUAUGUGGUUGGUUUUGUCCAGCAGGGUGAUGGGAAAUUAACCACCUUCUUAAGAGACAAAUUAUUGGCUGCAUUCCUGUCUGGGUUGCUUUUGAAGAGGGCUGAUUUUGAUUGUGGGAAGCUUAGCAUUUCUUGA
rnacentral:sRNA from 1 species